rnacentral:rRNA from 1 species
AGAGCGUAUGGUGGAUGCCUUGGCACUAAGAGCCGAUGAAAGACGUGAUAAGCUGCGAAAAGCUUCGGGGAGGAGCAAAUAUCCUUUGAUCCGGAGAUCUCUGAAUGGGGAAACCCACUUGAGCAAACCUCAAGUAUCCUUAAGCCAAUACAUAACUUAAGGAAGGGAACCCGGUGAACUGAAACAUCUAAGUAGCCGGAGGAAGAGAAAACAACAUGUGAUUCUGUGAGUAGCGGCGAGCGAAAACGGAAGAGCCCAAACCGGGGUGCGUGCAUCCCGGGGUUCGGACCGCAUAAUUGAUUCAACGAAUUUAGCAGAACGGUUUUGGGAAAGCCGGCCAGAGAGGGUGAAAGCCCCGUAAGCGAAAGAUGAGUUGACAUGGCGGUAUCCAGAGUAGGUCGAGACACGUGGAACCUUGACUGAAGACGCGGGGACCACCCCGUAAGGCUAAAUACUCCUUAGUGACCGAUAGCGCAUAGUACUGUGAAGGAACGGUGAAAAGGACCCCGGGAGGGGAGUGAAACAGAACCUGAAACCAUAUGUUUACAAGCUGUGGAAGAGCUUUAUAUGCUCAACCGCGUACUUUUUGUAGAACGGUCCGGCGAGUUGCGCUGGCUGGCGAGGUUAAGCACCAAAGGUGUGGAGCCGAAGGGAAACCAAGUCUUAAUAGGGCGAAUGAGUCAGUCGGAGCAGACCCGAAACCGGGUGAUCUAUCCAUGUCCAGGUUGAAGUUGCCGUAAAAGGCAAUGGAGGACCGAACCCACAUCCGUUGAAAAGGGUGGGGAUGAGGUGUGGAUAGGGGAGAAAUUCCAAUCGAACCCGGAGAUAGCUGGUUCUCCUCGAAAUAGCUUUAGGGCUAGCCUCAUAUAAGUCUUGCGGAGGUAGAGCACUGAAUUUCCUAGGGGGCGUCAAAGCUUACCGAAGAAUAUCAAACUCCGAAUGCCGUGUAGAUGUUGUAUGGGAGUCAGACUGUACGAGAUAAGUUGGACAGUCAAAAGGGAAAGAGCCCAGACCUGCAGCUAAGGCCCCAAAAUGUGUGUUAAGUGGAAAAGGAUGUGGGAUUUCAAAGACAACUAGGAUGUUGGCUUAGAAGCAGCCAUACAUUCAAAGAGUGCGUAAUAGCUCACUAGUCGAGAGGUCCUGCGCCGAAAAUGUCCGGGGCUGAAACACACUGCCGAAGCUCAGGAAUGUACCUAGUACAUUGGUAGAGGAGCAUUGUAUACGGGACGAAGCAGUACCGAUAAGGAGCUGUGGACUGUAUAGAAGAGAGAAUGCCGGAAUGAGUAGCGAGAGGAAGGUGAGAAUCCUUCCGGCCGAAUAUCUAAGGUUUCCAGAGUAAAGCUGAUCUGCUCUGGGUAAGUCGGGGCCUAAGGCCAGGUCGAAAGACGUAACCGAUGGACAACAGGUUGAAAUUCCUGUACCUUAAGUAAACAGAACUGUGGGGACACGUGUGGAGAGCACAAGCCGGAAAUGGAAAAGCCGGUGCAAGCGAGGUAGGAGUACAGUAGGCAAAUCCGCUGUACAAUCCGAAGACGUGAUGCGGACCGAAUUAAGAGUAGGGAAGUGUGUGAGCCAUGCGUCAAGAAAAGCCGCUAUUGUUUUACUUAAGCCCGUACCGUAAACCGACACAGGUGGAUGAGGAGAGAAUCCUAAGGCCGACGGGAGAAGCAUUGUUAAGGAACUCGGCAAAAUGACUCCGUAACUUCGGGAGAAGGAGUGCCAGCGAGAGCUGGCCGCAGAGAAUUGGCCCAAGCAACUGUUUAGCAAAAACACAGGUCUAUGCAAAACCGUAAGGUGAAGUAUAUGGGCUGACGCCUGCCCGGUGCUGGAAGGUUAAGAGGAGAGGUUAGCGGUAACGCGAAGCUUUGAAUUUAAGCCCCAGUAAACGGCGGCCGUAACUAUAACGGUCCUAAGGUAGCGAAAUUCCUUGUCGGGUAAGUUCCGACCCGCACGAAAGGCGUAAUGAUUUGGGCACUGUCUCAACAAUGCACCCGGUGAAAUUGAAAUACCAGUGAAGAUGCUGGUUACCUGCGCCAGGACGGAAAGACCCCAUGGAGCUUUACUCCAGCUUGAUACUGGGAGUCGGUAUAGCAUGUCCAGGAUAGGUGGGAGGCUAGGAAGUGAUGACGCCAGUUGUCACAGAGCCGCUGUUGGGAUACCACCCUUGCAGUAUUGGAUUUCUAACCAGCGACCAUGAACUGGUCGGGGGACAAUGUCAGGUGGGGAGUUUGACUGGGGCGGUCGCCUCCGAAAGGGUAUCGGAGGCGCUCAAAGGUUCCCUCAGAAUGGACGGAAACCAUUCGAAGAGU